CUGUGAAUAGUUUGGUCUAGAACCAUAGUUUCAAUUUGGUUUUGCUGUUGGGCUGCUUUGGUUUGGCUGAAAUGGGUUGAGCCCCUAUUAUAAUUUGGUUUGGUGUGGGCUUUUGUAAUUAAUAGAUUGGGUUGGUUUGGUCUGGACGGAGACAAAUUGGUCUCAAACCGUUUCAGUCCAUGGAUAAAAACCAAUAUAGCGACCAGUUUGACCUCACCCCGUUAGGCAAGACCAGCGCUAGGUUUAGAUGCAGCCGCCGCCGUCGCAGACGAGCCACAUGAGCAUGCGUCCGCCCCGCCAUCACCGAGAUCUCCGGUGACAAAAGUCAGCUCCUUCAUGCAGAACACGAGGAGCUCAGAGCCGAGGCCUUCGAUGACGCUGUUGACAAUGGAGAUGCACGCUGUUGACAAUGGAGAUGGCAGUGAGCUCGACCUUGCCGAUGUGGCCGACGGAGACGAAGCUAAUGAGGAACUGGAAGACUCCCGUCAGGAUCAUGGCCAGCGUCUCCGCGGCCGGCGCCACCAUCUGCUCUUUCGGUGCACACGCACAGACUACAAGCACACAGCAAGCUAGCCGCUGUUCGUACGUGCCUCGUAUCUUUCGUAGUUCUGUAUGUACAGGUUAAGUUUGGGGUUCAACGUUCCAGUUGCUGCUGAGUGACCCAUGGUUUGAAACUUUGGGUUCAAACUGUAUGUAGAAAAUGGUCUGGAUGGAUUUGGCUUGAAAAUACAUACAGUUUGGGUUGGUUUGGAUUGUAGUUUUUGCAAUUUGGUCUGGUUUGGUUUGAUCGCUGGACCUAUACAUGUAUGGUUUGGCCUGGGUUUAGUUUGGAUUACAAACUAUUACCAGGUUUAGUUGCAGGUUUGAGGACAACUAGCUGCAGGUCAUGUUCCAGAACCCCCCCUUUCAAUCUUCUCUCCCCAUGGACUGAAUAUGAGGAAAAUUGUGCUGACGAUCUUUUCUAUACUGAGCAAUGGUAGUUAUUUUGUUCCUGUGAAGCUCCAGGUUUGGCUGAUUGCUUGGAUGAUGAGUUUCAUAACCCACACAAGAAAUAGGAAAGAGAAGGUAAAGACAAGACACAAUCCAUUUGGUUUGUCAUUUUGAAGGCACAAAUAGAAACAAGAACACCAUAUAUGCUUUAUAAGGUUUUCUCUAAAUUUUGAGGAGCUUUGAGAGUUUGUCAGGGCAGAGAGGAUGGUUCUCAAGUAUGCUACUAUCAUUGAUGUUGUGUGGGAGCGCUAAAGAUUUGUGAAACUGCUAGCCACUAUCUACUUGUGCCUGCAAUUGUGUUUUAUACAGGACAGGGCUCUGCCGUUUCAGUGGUGCCAAGAUAUACCCGGGGGAUGUAUCAGAUUGGUCCAUUCAUACUCUCGAGUCCUCCUUUUGUCCAACUCAAAGUGCAAGCGCUAUUUCUGCAACCAUCUCAAGCCUGCUAAGCUUAUAUGGACUGCCAUGUACAGGAAGCAGCAGAAGAACGUAUACGGAUAUUCGUGUUGAGGCUGCAAAGAAGAGGCACCGGACCACCAAGAGUCCAUGUGGUCUCGCUGUUAAUCGCCUCUGGACGCGCCAUUGACGGCCAUAACCAACGUCUAUGCAUAGAAUCCAUGUGCCGUGUUUCCUGUUUCUCCGAGACCUUUUAAUUCUAUCGUAUGAUGUGAGGAAAUAUGCCUCUGCUUUAUCAUCUAUAUCAUCGUUCAUGUAACCUCUAAGAGUCCAGUCUUUGAAUGUGUUGCAUUCGUGCAACUGUCUUAUUGUUUCAGUUAGAAACUUCUCUGAAUGUGUUGCUUUUGCACAACUGUCUUAUUAUUUCAGUUAGAAACUU